CUCCCGCAGUUCCGCGGUCUGGGUGAGGGGCGCUGCGCCCCCCGACGGCGGGCGUGGGGGAGGGGAGGCCGCUCACCCCCAGAAACGCGCGGACGAGGCGGGACACACCCCUGCGAAGCGCCUCUGGCUGACACCCCUCGGGAUACCGCCCCGCCCCGGGCCCAUCCUCGGUCCCUGCUGCUUGCCUGGGGGUCCUGGACCCCUCGCUCCGGUCCUCUGCAGGCCUGGGGCUGGGCGCCGAACCUUUCCUGCUGCGAGUGGAUGCGCAAAGCACUUACUGCUGCUGGGUGCGAAGGCGCAGCAAGACAGUUAAUUUUAGAAAGAAAAACCGUUGAAAUACCAGACAUAAAUGGAAGAUCAGUAGCUCUCACCUCAAACCGAAGGUGAUCAUAAAACCAGGGACAACGCAGGUAUAACAUUGCGGCCACGGGGUGGCCCGUCACCGCCCUGAGCCUGGCUCCUCUGGGUGCUAGAGCAGCGAGGUGCUUCAAGGCUUAGCGUCCCCGACCCGAAACUUCCUGCGAGAGAAGCAACGUUUGGAGGCGAACGGCAAAGGGCGCCUCGCUGUUCCGCGUGUCUUCGCGCGGGCCUGAAGCGUAGCUCGCGGGCCUCCCGUGGGCCGGAUCCAGCUUGCGAACAGUAACUCACCUAAUCGUUAGGACCAACCUGUGAGACAGAGACCCCUGUUGUUCCUGAUGUUACAGUGGGGACGUGGCCCAGUGGUCAGCAACUCGUGUGGGGCUGCCCAGCAUUGCGUUAGAGGGUCUGAGCGCGGGAGCUGGGGCUGGGUCGCCCCCGGCCACACCGGGCGCAGGGCAGUCCCCACCACUGCACAAAUGAGAAAUGUAGCCUCACGGCACGAAGCCCGGA